rnacentral:misc_RNA from 1 species
AAGUCGUAACAAGGUUUCCGUAGGUGAACCUGCGGAAGGAUCAUUAGUGAAUUUUUAGGGUGCUCUCUUUUAACAAGAGAGGCCUGACCUCCACUCUCCAACACUGUGCACUAUUUGGCAAAUCAAAUGAAGUACCUCGGAAGGGGGCGGAUUAUGAUUUGCGGCUUCAUCUUUAACACUAGUAAAAGAAUGUAACAAAAACCAUAACAAAAAAAA